CGGUGUUCAACUGGCGUGUCCGCGGGACGUCCUGCCGGUGGGCUUAGCCCGCAAGGGCGGCCCAACUUCAAAUCCCAUCGCGGUGCUCUUCACUGAGUGUCGAGGUGGGCCGGCACAUUUACUUUGAACAAAUUAGAGUGCUUAAAGCAGGCUAAAACUUCGCCUGAAUACUGUGUGCAUGGAAUAAUGGAAUAGGACCUCGGUUCUAUUUUGUUGGUUUUCGGAACCCCGAGGUAAUGAUUAAUAGGAACGGAUGGGGGCAUUCGUAUUGCGACGUUAGAGGUGAAAUUCUUGGAUCGUCGCAAGACGGACAGAAGCGAAAGCAUUUGCCAAAAACGCUUUCAUUGAUCAAGAACGAAAGUUAGAGGUUCGAAGGCGAUCAGAUACCGCCCUAGUUCUAACCAUAAACGAUGCCAGCUAGCGAUCCGUCGACGUUCCUCCGAUGACUCGACGGGCAGCUUCCGGGAAACCAAAGCUUUUGGGUUCCGGGGGAAGUAUGGUUGCAAAGCUGAAACUUAAAGGAAUUGACGGAAGGGCACCACCAGGAGUGGGAGCCUGCGGCUUAAUUUGACUCAACACGGGAAACCUCACCAGGCCCGGACACCGGAAGGAUUGACAGAUUGAGAGCUCUUUCUUGAUUCGGUGGGUGGUGGUGCAUGGCCGUUCUUAGUUGGUGGAGCGAUUUGUCUGGUUAAUUCCGAUAACGAACGAGACUCUAGCCUGCUAACUAGGCGUAUUUUCGACAUCUCAAAGGUCCGUCGUCCCGGCCCUCGGGUCGUGGGCGUGCGCGAUUUUUACUGUCGGCGUACUAUCAAUUCUUCUUAGAGGGACAGGUGGCUUCUAGCCGCACGAGAUUGAGCAAUAACAGGUCUGUGAUG
rnacentral:rRNA from 1 species